rnacentral:lncRNA from 1 species
AUGCUAUGUUAUAAGCCGCGGGCUUUGGGUGCUUUCGCUUUUGAAUUUGUGAUCUUGUUGUCACGGUUUACAAGAAAAGAUAAUUGUUUGUUUUGCUUCCAUCUAUACCUUUCACUAUUUAAGACUAAAACAAUGAUGCAUUCAUUGUUAUUCUUAAUUAAAAAGCACAACAACAAUAAAACAGUAAGAGACGAUGACAAACAAGCUUACAAAACGAAGGGGCAGAUGCUCAAAGUAUAAAAGGGGCACAAGGAACACGGCUUUAAGCAGGGCUGUGCUCAAAAUGUCAAUACAGCAAUAUACUGUGAUGCAUUCCUUGCUGAUACACGUAUCAAUACGGAUGCUUUAUUCAUAUCCAAAAUGAGGAGAUGUGACUAUCAGGAGCGCUGAACUCUCUCAUGCAGUGUAUGUUUCAUUCAUACUCGAAGCAGAAAGUCCAAAACAGACUCAUAGGCCUUGUUUACACUGCAGGUCUUGAUGCCCAAUUCUGAUUUGUUGCCUACAUCCGAUUUUUUUUUGGCUGUCCGUUUACACGUUCUUUCAUUUGUGACCCAUAUCCGAUUCAUGUGUUUACACUUGCCAUACCAUCUGAAACAUCGUGCAUGCGUUGUUGUCAUUUACCAGCCCCACAUGUGCUUCCUCCUGAGAAUACUUUGACGUAUGCUGACAAAAUGAGUCAUAAUGAGCAAUUAAAAAAAAAGACAUUCUCCAUUAAAAGACCUUCAAAAUGAUUUAUGAUUUGUUGGAAUUGGACUUUUUCUUAUUAUUAAUUACUAUAUUAAUAAUCACAAUACAGCUAUUUUUUAAUUUUAUCUUUGGUAUUAUAAAUAAGGACAGAUGCAGAAAAAAAGAAAAGAAAAAAGAGCCUAGAAAGAAACAAAUAAUGCAUUACCGUUAUCAUUUUAUAUCUAAACUAAAGCAUUCAUGUACGUAAAAUAAUCAAAUGUAAAAAUAACUUAAGUGUGUUCAUUACAAAUAAAUUGAUUAUUAAAACAACAAAAGCAGUUCAAUGAAGUGCAGCGAGUGAUUCCCUCUUUUCUUUUGUUGUUAGAUUAACAUUGAUACAUGAUACUAGACGUCCUACUGUAAUGCACAGAUCUAAUAUAAUGUUACACAUCAGAUGUUUUCCCCCGACCAGUUCCCCAAGCUUUCACUUAAGACAGAACAGGUUAUGUUUGCGUAAAUACUGUAAUUCUGUAUAUGUGUGUAUUUAUCGGGAACGCGUGCCAUCAGAAGCGCCGUUAUAUGCAUGCACUUCGGAUUAUUCUAAACUAAAGCAUUCAUGUACGUAAAAUAAUCAAAUGUAAAAAUAACUUAAGUGUGUUCAUUACAAAUAAAUUGAUUAUUAAAACAACAAAAGCAGUUCAAUGAAGUGCAGCGAGUGAUUCCCUCUUUUCUUUUGUUGUUAGAUUAACAUUGAUACAUGAUACUAGACGUCCUACUGUAAUGCACAGAUCUAAUAUAAUGUUACACAUCAGAUGUUUUCCCCCGACCAGUUCCCCAAGCUUUCACUUAAGACAGAACAGGUUAUGUUUGCGUAAAUACUGUAAUUCUGUAUAUGUGUGUAUUUAUCGGGAACGCGUGCCAUCAGAAGCGCCGUUAUAUGCAUGCACUUCGGAUGACAGUCAAUACAAGAAGCGAGCAGAGAAAAGGUAAUCCUCUCAGAAAUGGACAAAUAAAGAUAUUUCAGAUGUGUAUUUACUACCUGGAGCUAUUUUUUCUAGGGUAAUUUUUUUUUUUUUUUUUGCCUGUAGCUCAAAAUAGCCCGUGCUAAUUUACACUCAUUUUGCCAGCAUGGGUCACAUAUUAGGUCAUUAAACCACAAAGAAGUCCCAAAUUGUCGCAGUUUUAAUGACGUACAGAAUGCAAUGCCUCAGAAAAUCCGAUUUGCCUGUUUACAUGACAGUCGCAUUGGCACAUAUCUGAUUUAGAUCCGAUUUAUUUCCACAUUGGAAGUAACAAAUAAACAUUGGAAGUUUACACUGUCACAGAACAGAGCCGAUCUGUGUCACAUAUGAGCAAAAAAUCGGAAUUGGGUCACAUUUAACUGGCAGUGUAAACGAGGCCAUAGAAGUAAUAACUUAUGACGUGCAGGAAAUCCCUAAUAUGGAAAAAGCAUCCGGCUAUCACUGAAGCUGAGCUGAUUAAAAAGCAGAAACGUUUUUACUGUUGAGAUACAGUGAAGACACCACAUUAGUUUAGAAUUUUUACUGUGCCUGUAUCGAUAUUGUGGCACUUGUGCAGCAGUGGAACGUGCUUAAUUUGAAUACAAGAACACAGUUGAAAAUGGAGUAGAAAAGUGCAAAGUUUCUAAAAAAAAUUAUGAAUAGAGCAUAAUAUAUAGACAGCAACAAGGUUUAAUCUGGCCGCAGAGGGGAGCACAACCGGGGUUGCCUGAUAUAGAGAGACGUAAUCCCCGAAGCGGAGCUUCCCACUUGCGCAAUACAGAAAUGUCUGCUAAGUGUGUUACUUAUUUUUGCCAACCUGGCAAAAGUGCUAAAGUUUGUCUAAGUGCUAAAAAGAAUGUCUUUGUGCAUGCACACAGCUUUGUCUGUGACUAAACGUGUGCGCGUGAGAUACACAGUGAAGACAGCGCAUUAGUUUAGUAACUCUUCAAAUUUGUAUUUUUAUUUUUUUAAAUGUUGAAAGUGUGUUAAUUUGUGCAAUGAUAACCUACCAGCAAUGCAAAUAUGUAAAUAUAUUAAUAUGAGUACAUUACAAUAUAAAUUUUAUAGAAUGAGUACAUUAUUAUUUAUGGGCUUAAAAACAAGAUGCAAACAAUCAGAAUAUUGUACCUGGUGGUAGUUAGAAAUGGCCCUAUAGUAUGCUGUGUUUAAUAAACAGCUGUUUUAAUCAAUUCUGCUGAGGUGAAAUUCAGUGCAGUCCUGUAUCAUAUCGUGGCCUCUGAAUCGUAAUAUGUAUCGUAUCGUGACUUUACUGGUGAUACACAGCCCUAAUCGUAGAGUGAAAGUUUAUCAUUUGUGCAAAUUUUUAAGUCUUGCCAGUUUAAACAUUCAAGCCAUUUUAAAUCAUUCAAAAGAGGUGAAAGAAUUCUGUACCUGCACACUGUUUUUCAUGUGAACACAGAAUCCAGUUCUCUCUCACUUCAUGGAUGAAGUGAAGUGACUGUGUAAACAAAGAAAUCAGAUGUGUAACAGUCUAUACAUGCCUGCUGCUGAAGCGCGCGCACACAGACAGCCGGGUCUAGACAGCGUGAAUACUAAAUCGAGCUCUCUUCCGCUUUUUUGUGCAUGGAUGAAUAAAUACAGACAAAAAUAAAUCAAAAUGCGCAUUUUGACAAAUAUCCUAGUAAACACAGUCGUUAGGCAUAUGUCUUAACGUAAACAGUUGAGAAAGAAAAGGCGUGUGUAUCAGUAUAUUAAAUCCGUGCUUCGUUCUUAAAGUGAAAGCAAACUAAUAAUUAAUCUAAUGCUGUCAAAGAAAAAUACAAGUGCUCACUGCUUCUGACUAAAUAACCGUUAUAACAUCAGGAAUGAUUCAUCUAUAUUUAAUUUAUAGAGUGAAGACUGUGCAGUUAUUUUACAUGUGAUUAGCCUAUUACAUUUCUGUAGCGCACCUGGAAACGUAUUUUUGACUGAGCUGAAAAACCUGAAAAGCACUGUUUAUUGAACGUGUCUUUGUUGUAUUGUAGUUAUUUUCUGCUAUUGUUUGUCAUUUGGUUAUCUGUAGAAAAGAUUUUUAGCACUGAGCCCAUAGCAGCCAGAAUUGUUUUUCAAAUUGUUUAUUUUCUUUAUGAUUUAAAAAAAAAUGUGUAGGCCUAUUUUUUUGUUGUGAAUAUCCCAACUGAGGUACAGAAUGUAACAUUUUCAGAUAAAUGUUCUUGUUAUAUAUUUUGGUUGCAUUUGUGAGUUAAUAAAAAUGUAGAUGGAUGUUUAAAAUAGAUAUAAAAUAUAAAAAUAUCGAUAUAUCGAUCGAUACACUCCUGUAUCGAAUCGAAUCGUAAUCGUGUCGUAGAAUUUUUUGAGGUAUCGGAAAAUAUCGUAUCGCUGGGUAUGAGAAUCGAUAUCAUAUCGUAUCGUGACGAACCAUCCGAUUUACACCCCUAUUUGAUACAAGCCUCGACACAGUCUUUUGAACAAGUCUGGUUCAUAAACAGGCUUCGGCGCCUCAGUGUCAAACGUCCCAUCUCUACGUUUUUCAUAGAAAUAACUAUUUGCUUCAGUUGGACAACAGAUGUUACAAUUAUAAACUAACAAUAAUAAAAUAAUAAAAUUGAAAUUAUUUUAUAUUUAAAAAAAAAAACGAUAAUAAGAAUGUAUAAAUUAUAAUAUUUUAAUAAAAUAAUAAAUUGAAAUUAUUUUAUAUUUAAAAAAAAACGAUAAUAAGAUGUAUAAAUUAUAAUAUUUGGCAACAUUUCUACAUAUAAUACAAGUGCAUUUUUAGUUGUUUUUUUUAUUGUUGUUGUGUCUUUCAUUUAAACGAAUACUUAGUUUGUGGCUUGUUUAACCCACCAUUUUCAAGUAUUCAAAGUAAGCUCUACAGUCCCUAAACGUCAAUGAUAAAAUGUGCAGCAAUACUGCUGUUGUCACAAGUAUAUUAAUCAAUGACUAAAUUUUCUCACCGUGCAAUCCCUGUAAUAUACUGACAGCCACCGUAAAAACACAGUUAAAAUCAAAGCGAUCACAGUUCACCGUAAGUAGCUUUUCCACAUGCUGAGGUAAAUACACAAUGUAGUAAACCUUAAUUUAGCAACAUAAGUUAAAACAUGAAAUCGUAAUGUACAUAAAAAAAACUAAGAAACCGUCAUUUCAGUGAAAAGCAAUCAAAUAUAAACAAUCACAGAGAAAGCUUGUAAUUUUAGUUUUUCACCGAAAGACUGUGUGCAUUAAGGGUGUGUGUUUGUGUCUAUGUUCUGUUUCAAAUGCAUUUUGAUGCAGUGUGAAAGUAACAGAAUCUGUUGUAUUUUUUGUGCGUGAACUAGUACAGAGCACUGUUGCAUUAACCUGUAAGUGUAAUCCACACAAAUUGCACAAAGGUCUGUUGACAUUUAUUUCCUUAAAAAAAAAAAUAGUGUUAAUGCUUAGGCAGUCAUCCAGAAAUUUCAUUCAGAAAACUUGUAGAAGGCUUAAAAUCGACACCAUUGUCACUGCUGAAGUUUGUUCUCAUCAUAUACAUCUCCCAUCAUAACCAUUCCCAGGUCCCACCAGUGCUGUCAUUGUCACUCCGUCCCCUCUCAACUCUG